CGCUCUCUUCGGAGGGAGCGGCGGACGGGUGAGUAACGCGUGGGAACGUGCCCUCUUCUGAGGAAUAGCCAUUGGAAACGAUGAUUAAUGCCUCAUACGCCCUUCGGGGGAAAGAUUUAUCGGAGGAGGAUCGGCCCGCGUUGGAUUAGGUAGUUGGUGGGGUAAUGGCCUACCAAGCCUACGAUCCAUAGCUGGUUUGGGAGGAUGAUCGGCCACACUGGGACUGAGACACGGCCCAG
rnacentral:rRNA from 1 species